UACAGAGGUCUCAAGCGUUGUUCGGAUUCAUUGGGCGUAAAGGGUGUGUAGGUGGCGCCGUAAGUCGGGUGUGAAAUUUCGGAGCUUAACUCCGAAACUGCAUUCGAUACUGCGGUGCUUGAGGACUGGAGAGGAGACUGGAAUUCAUGGUGUAGCAGUGAAAUGCGUAGAGAUCAUGAGGAAGACCAGUGGCGAAGGCGGCACUCUGGGCCGUGACUGACGCUGAGGAGCGAAAGCGUGGGUAGCGAACAGG
rnacentral:rRNA from 1 species